AGUGAACGUUGGCGGCGUGGAUUAGGCAUGCAAGUCGAGCGAUCGUAGCAAUACGGGAGCGGCAAACGGGGUAGGAAUAACAUCGGAACGUACCUUUGGUUGAGAAUAGCGUUGGGAAACUGACGGUAAUACUCAAUAAAGUCGAGAGACCAAAGGUUUACUGACCGGAAGAGCGGCCGAUGCGAUAUUAGGUAGUUGGUGGGGUAAUGGCCUACCAAGGCCUGGAGAUGUCUAGGGGGUGUGAGAGCAUGGCCCCCACCACUGGGACUGAGAUACUGCCCAGACACCUACGGGUGGCUGCAGUCGAGGAUCUUCGUCAAUGGGCGAAAGCCUGAACGAGCGACGCCGCGUGCGGGAUGAAGGCCCUUGGGUUGUAAACCGCUGUCAGGGGGGAUGAAACCGUAAGGUUGACAGAGCCCCAGAGGAAGCACGGGCUAAGUUCGUGCCAGCAGCCGCGGUAAU
rnacentral:rRNA from 1 species